UACGUAGGGUGCGAGCGUUAAUCGGAAUUACUGGGCGUAAAGCGUGCGCAGGCGGUUUUGCAAGCCGGAUGUGAAAUCCCCGGGCUCAACCUGGGAACUGCAUUUGUGACUGUAGAGCUGGAGUGCGGCAGAGGGGGAUGGAAUUCCGCGUGUAGCAGUGAAAUGCGUAGAUAUGCGGAGGAACACCGAUGGCGAAGGCAAUCCCCUGGGCCUGCACUGACGCUCAUGCACGAAAGCGUGGGGAGCAAACAGG
rnacentral:rRNA from 1 species